AGGAAAGGAGAAUUAGAGUCUAUCAAGAAGAAGCUACAAGGAUUUUCUGAUGCGAGUGAGAGCACACUGAGUGAUGCUUUAAAUGUUGAACCUGGAUCUGUUGAGACCCUCCUCACAUGGCUGUUACCUGAGAGAAACAGCAGAGCCCAGGCCAGAAGAUGUCUGCCUAGCUCAUGAAACUCAGUGAUCCAGAGAGAAGGCUCAAUGGGUUACAGACAUCACCAUGCAAGCUCAAGGACCUGAGUUCAAUCCCAACAACCAGACGAAAUCAGCAAUACAUAUGUACAAUCUCACCAUGCCUACAAGGAGGUAGAAGGCAGAGAGUAGAGAAUUUUCCAGAAAUUCAAAGGCCAGUUUUCCUGGAGUUCACAGUACCGCAGAAGAAACAGCUUAAGCCUGGAUGAGGCUGCCUCAGCAUGGGAGAAAUAAAAAUAUGAAUGUC
rnacentral:lncRNA from 1 species